rnacentral:rRNA from 1 species
AUAGCUUUAGUGGCAAACGGGUGAGUAAUACGUAAGAAUCUACCUUUAGGAGGGAAAUAACAGUUAGAAAUGACUGCUAAUGUCCCAUAUGCUGAAAAGUGAAAUGUUUUUUGCCUAGNNAUGAGCUUACGCCUGAUUAGCUAGUUGGUAAGGUAAAGGCUUACCAAGGCAACGAUCAGUAGCUGGUUUGAGAGGAUGAUCAGCCACACUGGAACUGAGACACGGUCCAGACUUCUACGGAAGGCAGCAGUGGGGAAUUUUCCGCAAUGGGCGAAAGCCUGACGGAGCAAUACCGCGUGAAGGAUGAAUGCCUGCGGGUUGUAGACUUCUUUUAUUAGGGAAGAAGAUAUGACGGUACCUAAUGAAUAAGCAUCGGCUAACUCCGUGCCAGCAGCCGCGGUAAUACGGGGGAUGCAAGCGUUAUCCGGAAUUAUUGGGCGUAAAGAGUCUGUAGGUUGUUCAGAAAGUCUGUUGUUAAAGAUUAGAGCUCAACUCUAGAAAAGCAAUAGAAACUUCUAGACUAGAGUAUGGUANAGGCAAAGGGAAUUCCCCAGUGUAGCGGUGAAAUGCGUAGAUAUUGGGAANAACACCAGAAGCGAA